rnacentral:rRNA from 1 species
AUUGAACGCUGGCGGCAGGCCUAACACAUGCAAGUCGAACGAGUGGCGGACGGGUGAGUAAUGUCUGGGAAACUGCCCGAUGGAGGGGGAUAACUACUGGAAACGGUAGCUAAUACCGCAUACCAUCGGAUGUGCCCAGAUGGGAUUAGCUUGUAGGUGAGGUAACGGCUCACCUAGGCGACGAUCCCUAGCGGGUCUGAGAGGAUGACCAGGCACACGGGAACGGAGACACGGUCCAGACUCCGACGGUAGGCAGCAGUGGGGAAUAUGGCACAAUGGGCGCGAGCCUUAUGCAGCCAUGGCGCGUGUAUGAAGAAGGCCUUCGGGUUGGAAAGUACUUGCAGCGGGGAGGCGUUACCCGCAGAAGAAGCACCGGCUAACUCCGUGCCAGCCGCCGCGGUAAUAC